UGGGGAAUAUUGCACAAUGGGCGCAAGCCUGAUGCAGCGACGCCGCGUGGGGGAUGACGGCCUUCGGGUUGUAAACCUCUUUCAGCAGGGACGAAGCGAAAGUGACGGUACCUGCAGAAGAAGCACCGGCCAACUACGUGCCAGCAGCCGCGGUAAUACGUAGGGUGCGAGCGUUGUCCGGAAUUACUGGGCGUAAAGAGCUCGUAGGUGGUUUGUCGCGUUGUUCGUGAAAACCGGGGGCUUAACCCUCGGCGUGCGGGCGAUACGGGCAGACUAGAGUACUGCAGGGGAGACUGGAAUUCCUGGUGUAGCGGUGGAAUGCGCAGAUAUCAGGAGGAACACCGGUGGCGAAGGCGGGUCUCUGGGCAGUAACUGACGCUGAGGAGCGAAAGCGUGGGGAGCGAACAGGAUUAGAUACCCUGGUAGUCCACGCCGUAAACGGUGGGUACUAGGUGUGGGUUUCCUUCCUUGGGAUCCGUGCCGUAGCUAACGCAUUAAGUACCCCGCCUGGGGAGUACGGCCGCAAGGCUAAAACUCAAAGGAAUUGACGGGGGUCAUAGCUGUUUCCU
rnacentral:rRNA from 1 species